CAUACGGAACUGAAAGUUGUCUUUAUGCAUAACAUAUAAAAUAACACUUACAAGAAGAACAUAGCAAAACAAUGUCCUUUUUGUGAACAGGGGCCUAACUGUAAACUUUAUUGCUUUUCCAGAAAUACAUUAUUAAAUAUGUCUCUGAAGCCUGGCUUUGAUCCUGUUCCUCUUUUCCCUGGAAUUCUGUUCCUGUAUCCAUUGUACAGGAUAGUUUAAUAAAAAAAACAGUGAAAGCAUCUGAAACGUAGUGUAUGGGAUUCAGCUGGAGCUGCUAGAGGUGGUGAUGUCCUCAGGAUCCCUCUCUCUGCCCUGGUCUGGUCAGAAUCAGGAUGACAAAGGCUCAGGAUCCCAGAAGAUGGUGAGAGACCAGCCAUGAUGAUUGCAACUUUAAUGCUGAAGCUUGGCACUGAAUCAUGCAGUGUGUCCACAUUGCUGCGUGUGCCAUUUUCUUUACUCAUACUACAAUCCCCUUUGUCGUCAUUGCUGCUGCCCCACACUGUACAGCCCUACCACAACCAUAGCCCAGUUAAGAUCUUCAGCCACUAUGACUUUAUUGAGGAUCUUGCAUGUUUCCUCAUUGAUUGUUUGGGUUGAGAUUUCUUUGCAAAAUAAAGGAGUUCUUCAACUGUUGUACCUGCUUGUACAAGCCUUGUGUAACAAACGCUGAGUCAUAUUGGCUAUGACUGUGGAUUUAUCAAGCUGCAGUGCAAAAUAUUGACUCUUCUUCAAGUGGUCUAUCAACUGGUCCUGAACAUUUUACACAACGUCAUCAAUGCAUCGAUGGAUGGUAUUAUUUAACAUAGGAAUGGUUUUCAGUGCGGUGAGUGCAUGUUUACCUAUCAUAAUUCUACAUGUAUAUUGCUGUUGGAAGUGGAAGGGUCUCAUAAAAAACAUUUUGGCUGCAGAAUUCCAAAGAACCUGUAAACAUACUACCUUCACUUUGUGUGUACAUUUAUA